GAUGAACGCUGGCGGCGUUCCUAAUACAUGCAAGUCGAGCGAACAGACGAGGAGCUUGCUCCUCUGACGUUAGCGGCGGACGGGUGAGUAACACGUGGAUAACCUACCUAUAAGACUGGGAUAACUUCGGGAAACCGGAGCUAAUACCGGAUAAUAUAUUGAACCGCAUGGUUCAAUAGUGAAAGACGGUUUUGCUGUCACUUAUAGAUGGAUCCGCGCCGCAUUAGCUAGUUGGUAAGGUAACGGCUUACCAAGGCAACGAUGCGUAGCCGACCUGAGAGGGUGAUCGGCCACACUGGAACGGAGACACGGUCCAGACUCCUACGGGAGGCAGCAGUAGGGAAUCUUCCGCAAUGGGCGAAAGCUUGACGGAGCAACGCCGCGUGAGUGAUGAAGGGCUUCGGAUCGUAAAACUCUGUUAUUAGGGAAGAACAAAUGUGUAAGUAACUAUGCACGUCUUGACGGUACCUAAUCAGAAAGCCACGGCUAACUACGUG
rnacentral:rRNA from 1 species